AUUGAACGCUGGCGGCAGGCCUAACACAUGCAAGUCGAGCGGAUGAAGGAAGCUUGCUUCCCGAUUCAGCGGCGGACGGGUGAGUAAUGCCUAGGAAUCUGCCUGUUAGUGGGGGAUAACGCGGGGAAACUCGCGCUAAUACCGCAUACGUCCUACGGGAGAAAGCGGGGGCUCUUCGGACCUCGCGCUAACAGAUGAGCCUAGGUCGGAUUAGCUAGUUGGUGGGGUAAUGGCCCACCAAGGCGACGAUCCGUAACUGGUCUGAGAGGAUGAUCAGUCACACUGGAACUGAGACACGGUCCAGACUCCUUCGGGAGGCAGCAGUGGGGAAUAUUGGACAAUGGGCGAAAGCCUGAUCCAGCCAUGCCGCGUGUGUGAAGAAGGUCUUCGGAUUGUAAAGCACUUUAAGUCGGGAGGAAGGGCUGUAGGCUAAUACCUUGCAGUUUUGACGUUACCGACAGAAUAAGCACCGGCUAACUUCGUGCCAGCCGCCGCGGUAA
rnacentral:rRNA from 1 species